rnacentral:rRNA from 1 species
ACGGAAGGAGCAGUGAGGAAUAUUGGUCAAUGGGCGGAAGCCUGAACCAGCCAAGUAGCGUGCAGGACGACGGCCCUAUGGGUUGUAAACUGCUUUUGUCAGGGAAUAAAAAGGAAUACGUGUAUUCCAUUGCAUGUACCUGAAGAAUAAGGACCGGCUAAUUCCGUGCCAGCAGCCGCGGUAAUACGGAAGGUCCGGGCGUUAUCCGGAUUUAUUGGGUUUAAAGGGAGCGCAGGCGGCCUUUUAAGCGUGUUGUGAAAUGUAGUGGCUCAACCUCUGCACUGCAGCGCGAACUGGAGGGCUUGAGUACGCGGGAAGUAGGCGGAAUUCGUCGUGUAGCGGUGAAAUGCUUAGAUAUGACGAAGAACUCCGAUUGCGAAGGCAGCCUACUGUAGCGUUACUGACGCUAAAGCUCGAAAGUGUGGGUAUCGAACAGGAUUAGAUACCCUGGUA